UACGAAGGGGGCUAGCGUUGCUCGGAAUGACUGGGCGUAAAGGGCGCGUAGGCGGAUGGCACAGUCAGAGGUGAAAUUCCCGGGCUUAACCUGGGGGCUGCAUUUGAUACGUGUUGUCUAGAGUGAGGAAGAGGGUUGUGGAAUUCCCAGUGUAGAGGUGAAAUUCGUAGAUAUUGGGAAGAACACCGGUGGCGAAGGCAGCAACCUGGUCCUUGACUGACGCUGAGGCGCGAAAGCGUGGGGAGCAAACAGG
rnacentral:rRNA from 1 species